rnacentral:snRNA from 1 species
GAUCAAAGUGUAGUAUCUGUUCUUAUCAGCUUAAUAUCUGAUACGGUCCCCAUGUGGGGCCUACGAUAUUAAUCUGAUUUUUGUACUUAGGCGAAGUGCUCGGGGCUUGCUCCACCUUUGCCACGGAUUGGC